UGGGGAAUCUUCCGCAAUGGGCGCAAGCCUGACGGAGCAACGCCGCGUGGGGGACGAAGGCCUUCGGGUCGUAAACCUCUGUCAGCGGGAAAGAGGGGCCGGGCGGUGAACAGCCGCUUGGCCUGACGGUACUCGCAGAGGAAGCCACGGCCAACUCCGUGCCAGCAGCCGCGGUAAUACGGAGGUGGCGAGCGUUGUUCGGAAUUACUGGGCGUAAAGGGCGCGUAGGCGGGGGGAGAAGUCGGGUGUGAAAGCCCUCGGCUCAACCGAGGAACGGCGCUCGAGACUCUCUCUCUUGAGUCCCGGAGAGGACGAUGGAAUUCCCGGUGUAGCGGUGAAAUGUGUAGAGAUCGGGAGGAACACCGGUGGCGAAGGCGGUCGUCUGGACGGUGACUGACGCUGAGGCGCGAAAGCGUGGGGAGCAAACGGGAUUAGAUACCCCCGUAGUCC
rnacentral:rRNA from 1 species